rnacentral:lncRNA from 12 species
GGGGGGCGGAGCAUUCUCUAGAAGCUUGGAUGUGAGCAGUGCCGGGCCAGUCUUGGGGAGGAGCUGCGUUACGGACAGACUUGGAGGCUUCCGCCGAAGAGAAGAAGCUUGGAGGUAAUGGCUGUCGUAAAAGCUAGUUAUUUUCGGAGAUUUCUGGAAACUUUCGAGUAAAGGUUGAUAUCAGAGAUGCACAUGACCUGAAGGAUCUGCAUGUGAUGCCAGUUGAGCCCCAGAAAGGCAGUGCGACCUCAGAAUUGCUGAGCAGAAAAAAGACUGCUGGAGAAGUAGCUGGAGUGAGAAUCAAGACAACCAGAUCACAGGACUGGACCUUCCAUAAUCCACGUGAUACUGGGCCCCCUACUUUUCCCAUCACAGGGAGGGGGCGGAGCCUUCUCUGAGAAGCUUGGAAGUGAGCUGUGCCUGGCCAGUCUUGGGGGAGGGGCUGCAUUUCACGAGGCUGCAGCUGACAAGAAGCUUCAAGUAUCCUCCACAUUGUCCCAUUCAAACAACGUGUUCAAGCGCCCUUGGGAAACUCAGCUGGAGAAGAACAGGCCACACAAGCAGUAUACCCUUUAUGGUUCUAAGAAAAAAGAGGCUUUGAUUAGAGUAUUGCUUUUGGUAGAAACUGCCUUAGCGGUGUCAAGAAUAGCCAGACACCUCAAUCUCUGAAUAGUAACCUCUUG